GAUGAACGCUGGCGGCGUGCCUAAUACAUGCAAUCGAGCGAACGGACGAGAAGCUUGCUUCUCUGAUGUUAGCGGCGGACGGGUGAGUAACACGUGGAUAACCUACCUAUAAGACUGGGAUAACUUCGGGAAACCGGAGCUAAUCCCGGAUAAUAUUUUGAACCGCAUGGUUCAAAAGUGAAAGACGGUCUUGCUGUCACUUAUAGAUGGAUCCGCGCUGCAUUAGCUAGUUGGUAAGGUAACGGCUUACCAAGGCAACGAUGCAUAGCCGACCUGAGAGGGUGAUCGGCCACACUGGAACUGAGACACGGUCCAGACUCCUACGGGAGGCAGCAGUAGGGAAUCUUCCGCAAUGGGCGAAAGCCUGACGGAGCAACGCCGCGUGAGUGAUGAAGGUCUUCGGAUCGUAAAACUCUGUUAUUAGGGAAGAACAUAUGUGUAAGUAACUGUGCACAUCUUGACGGUACCUAAUCAGAAAGCCACGGCUAACUACGU
rnacentral:rRNA from 1 species